CGAGGCCACUCUGGAAAGCAGGCCCUCGGGCCUCACCCAAGGUGUAAGCCGCGCCUCGCGCGCGGUGAAACUCUCAGGUGCCCAUGACAGAGGGGGAGUU
rnacentral:ncRNA from 2 species